rnacentral:tRNA from 1 species
GGGCCCGUGGCCUAGCCAGGAUAAGGCGGCAAGUGGAAAAGCUGCAUAUCCGGGGUUCGAAUCCCCGCGGGCCCGCCA